rnacentral:lncRNA from 1 species
AGUAAGGAUUCCUCACUCUAUUUCCUAUCACGGUAUUAAAGUGCAAUAAAUGAUAAAAUGGUAUUUCAUGAAUCAAUAGCUGUGUGAAAUUGUUUAAGGUUGCUAAUGGAGCCCGAGUCUAGUGUAUUUGUCGGUCAGUUAUUGUUUGUUCUAUUUUACAGUUUUAAAUGCAGUAUGAUGUCUGAUAUUUUUAUUUCAUAGUUUCGUGUGCAUGUAUCACUGUUUCAUUGAUUAUGGACUGAAUGACUGAUAACCCGAUGUUGUGUGUUGUUUUGCUGGC